GCGUCGAUGGUGUAACGGUUAGCAUUGGUGCCUUCCAAAGCACUAGUUCCGGGUUCGACUCCCCGGUCGACGCA
rfam:Ciona savignyi cont_34398, whole genome shotgun sequence.